AUGGUCUCCGAUUUCAGUUGCAACUUGCAGUUUGCACGUUAAACAGUUUAUUCGAAAGGAGAACGUUGAUCGUUACUCGUUGCGUACUGCAAAAAUUGUGACAUAACAUUCGACAACAUUGUUUUGGGUAUUUUUGUUUAUCGUAAACUAGGUCAAACCGUUCGUUGUGAAAAUGCCCCUGGACACAGACGUAUUGUACAAAUUGGACUUGAAGGACCCACCUGAACAACUUAUGAAGUGGGCCGAGGAAAAUAUACGAGAAAAUCCUGAUACAAAAUGUCUGAUCAUUGAAGAUUUUAGGGAUAUGAUUUAUGGUCGAGGUGAAUGCGUCCCACAUAGAACCGACGACGCUUUUUUGCUCAGAUUCCUAAGGGCCAGGAAAUUCAAUGUCGAGGCAGCCCACAGAUUAUUUGUAAACUACUACCGUUUUAAAGAAAACAAUCCGGAAUUCUUUGACGGUGUUCAACUCAAAAAUCUACUGGAAAUCGGUUGUGACGAUAUUAUUACCGUACCCCCAUACAGGGAACAAACUGGAAGAAGGAUCUUACUUUAUCGCAUGGGUAACUGGGAUCCCGAAAAAUACACCGUGACCCAACUGUUUCAAGCGACCAUGGCCAUUUUGGAGUUGGCGAUAUUAGAGCAGAGAGCUCAGAUCCUGGGAGGCAUUGGCCUCUUUGACAUGUCAAAUUUAACGUUUCAGCAGGCUUGUUAUAUGACGCCCAGUAUAGCACAUAAAAUUAUCCAGAUAUUAGUGACAUCAUUCCCAAUGAAAAUUCACGCGAUCCACAUCGUGUUCCAGCCCUACAUUUUCGACAUCGUUUAUCGAGUAUUUCAACCGUUCCUCACCGGUACAAUGAAGGACAAGUUAUACCUUCAUGGAGAAGAUAUGGAGAGUCUGCAUAAAUAUAUUGACCCGAAACAUUUACCAGAAAAAUAUGGCGGAAGACAUCCGGACUACGCCUACGGACCUUGGAUCGAGGAUUUUUUGAAAAACGAAGAAAUCAAGAACGAAUUGCGAUCGUUGGGUUAUACGGUCGACGAAUUAGAAUAUGAAGAAUAUUUAAGUGAUAGUGAUAAGUCCGAGGGGUCAUCGUGUGUAUCUGAUUAGAGCAUUUGUUGUUUAUGUAUUAUAAGUGAUAUAGAUUUAAAUGUACAGGGUGUCUCAAAUUCGAGGGUAAGAAACCGUAAGAGUUCCGGGGUCGGUUAAAUGGAGACAAAGUUGCGCCAAUUAAAGAGAUAUCAGCCAACUAAAAACAGUUUUUUAUUGCCGCUUUGACGCAAAAAAAAAAUAAUUCCGACGUUUCGUUUUUCUUUUCGAUCAUCAUCAACUUUAUUUUUUCUUAUGGGCGUCAUUAUUGGAUUUUCUCAUUUUUUAAAAAGUAUUUUUAUCUGCCUUUAAAAUGAGGCAUCGCACUUGCAUGUCCGAUUACCCCUUCCAGUACUUCCCAUAAGGACUGCAUGAGUGCAAACGAGAAAGAUAUAUCAAUGGGAUUACAAAAUAAAUUCGAUACAGGGGGGUAUACCCGAAAAAUGAAAAAUUCCAAACUUUGAAGGUCGAUAUCUCGGCUUCUAUGGGGGGUAUCGGGAAAAUUCCAACGGUUUUGUCUUAGUUUCGUCGUUCUAAAUCCAACGAGACCAUCCGCAAGGUCGUAGCUUUUCUAAUAGCUGAGAUAUGGCAUUUUUGAUGCCCAUUUUUGGCCUCAAAAACGGACGUCGAAAACGACUUUUUCAGGAUUUUCAAAGUGCUCUCAUUCCCUUAGUUCUGCUCCGAUCCUGUUAUAACCCGGUGUUUUCGUAAUCUAGGUGACCCAAAUAAGACGCUGGUGUAGUUAGUUUGAUUUCGAAAAAAAUCAAUUUUUGGUGAAAAAAUUCGAUACGGGGGGGUAUACCCGAAAAAUGAAUAAUUCCAAACUUUGAAGAUCGAUAUCUCGGCUUCUAUGGGGGGUAUCGGGAAAAUUCCAACGGUUUUGUCUUAGUUUCAUCGUUCUAAAUCCAACGAGACCAUCCGCAAGGUCGUAGCUCCACUAAUAGCUGAGAUAUGGCAUUUUUGAUGCCCAUUUUUGGCCUCAAAAACGGACGUCGAAAACGACUUUUUCAGGAUUUUCAAAGUGCUCUCAUUCCCUUAGUUCUGCUCGGAUCCUGUUAUAACCUGGUGUUUUCGUAAUCUAGGUGACCCAAAUAAGACACUGGUGUACUUAGUUUGAUUUCGAAAAAAAAUCAAUUUUUGGUGAAAAAAUUCGAUACGGGGGGGUAUACCCGAAAAAUGAAAAAGUCCAAACUUUGAAGGUCGAUAUCUCGGCUUCUAUGGGAGCUAUUGGGAAAAUUCCAACGGUUUUUUCUUAGUUUCGUCAUUCUAAAUCCAACGAGACCAUCCGCAAGGUCGUAGCUCUUCUAAUAGCUGAGAUAUGGCAUUUUUGAUGCCCAUUUUUGGCCUCAAAAACGGACGUCGAAAACGACUUUUUCAGGAUUUUCAAAGUGCUCUCAUUCCCUUAGUUCUGCUCCGAUCCUGUUAUAACCCGGUGUUUUCGUAAUCUAGGUGACCCAAAUAAGACGCUGGUGUAUUUAGUUUGAUUUCGAAAAAAAUCAAUUUUUGGUGAAAAAAUUCGAUACGGGGGGGUAUACCCGAAAAAUGAAAAAUUCCAAACUUUGAAGGUCGAUAUCUCGGCUUCUAUGGGGGGUAUCGGGAAAAUUCCAACGGUUUUGUCUUAGUUUCGUCGUUCUAAAUCCAACGAGACCAUCCGCAAGGUCUUAGCUCUUCUAAUAGCUGAGAUAUGGCAUUUUUGAUGCCAAUUUUUGGCCUCAAAAACGGACGUCGAAAACGACUUUUUCAGGAUUUUCAAAGUGCUCUCAUUCCCUUAGUUCUGCUCGGAUCCUGUUAUAACCUGGUGUUUUCGUAAUCUAGGUGACCCAAAUAAGACACUGGUGUACUUAGUUUGAUUUCGAAAAAAAAUCAAUUUUUGGUGAAAAAAUUCGAUACGGGGGGGUAUACCCGAAAAAUGAAAAAACCCAAACUUUGAAGGUCGAUAUCUCGGCUUCUAUGGGAGUUAUCGGAAAAAUUCCAACGGUUUUGUCUUAGUUUCGUCGUUCUAAAUCCAACGAGACCAUCCGCAAGGUCGUAGCUUUUCUAAUAGCUGAGAUAUGGCAUUUUUGAUGCCCAUUUUUGGCCUCAAAAACGGACGUCGAAAACGACUUUUUCAGGAUUUUCAAAGUGCUCUCAUUCCCUUAGUUCUGCUCGGAUCCUCUUAUAACCCGGUGUUUUCGUAAUCUAGGUGACCCAAAUAAGACGCUGGUAUACUUGGUUUGAUUUCGAAAAAAAUCAAUUUUUGGUGAAAAAAUUCGAUACGGGGGGGUAUACCCGAAAAAUGAAAAAACCCAAACUUUGAAGGUCGAUAUCUCGGCUUCUAUGGGAGUUAUCGGAAAAAUUCCAACGGUUGUGUCUUAGUUUCGUCGUUCUAAAUCCAACGAGACCAUCCGCAAGGUCGUAGCUCUUCUAAUAGCUGAGAUAUGGCAUUUUUGAUGCCCAUUUUUGGCCUCAAAAACGGACGUCGAAAACGACUUUUUCAGGAUUUUCAAAGUGCUCUCUUUCCCUUAGUUCUGCUCGGAUCCUCUUAUAACCCGGUGUUUUCGUAAUCUAGGUGACCCAAAUAAGACGCUGGUAUACUUGGUUUGAUUUCGACAAAAAUCAAUUUUUGGUGAAAAAAUUCGAUACGGGGGGGUAUACCCGAAAAAUGAAAAAAUCCAAACUUUGAAGGUCGAUAUCUCGGCUUCUAUGGGAGUUAUCGGGAAAAUUCCAACGGUUUUGUCUUAGUUUCGUCGUUCUAAAUCCAACGAGGCCAUCCGCAAGGUCGUAGCUUUUCUAAUAGCUGAGAUAUGGCAUUUUUGAUGCCCAUUUUUGGCCUCAAAAACGGACGUCGAAAACGACUUUUUCUGGAUUUUCAAAGUGCUCUCAUUCCCUUAGUUCUGCUCCGAUCCUGUUAUAACCCGGUGUUUUCGUAAUCUAGGUGACCCAAAUAAGACGCUGGUGUAGUUAGUUUGAUUUCGAAAAAAAUCAAUUUUUGGUGAAAAAAUUCGAUACGGGGGGGUAUACCCGAAAAAUGAAUAAUUCCAAACUUUGAAGAUCGAUAUCUCGGCUUCUAUGGGGGGUAUCGGGAAAAUUCCAACGGUUUUGUCUUAGUUUCGUCGUUCUAAAUCCAACGAGACUAUCCGCAAGGUCGUAGCUCCACUAAUAGCUGAGAUAUGGCAUUUUUGAUGCCCAUUUUUGGCCUCAAAAACGGACGUCGAAAACGACUUUUUCUGGAUUUUCAAAGUGCUCUCAUUCCCUUAGUUCUGCUCCGAUCCUGUUAUAACCCGGUGUUUUCGUAAUCUAGGUGACCCAAAUAAGACGCUGGUGUAGUUAGUUUGAUUUCGAAAAAAAUCAAUUUUUGGUGAAAAAAUUCGAUACGGGGGGGUAUACCCGAAAAAUGAAUAAUUCCAAACUUUGAAGAUCGAUAUCUCGGCUUCUAUGGGGGGUAUCGGGAAAAUUCCAACGGUUUUGUCUUAGUUUCGUCGUUCUAAAUCCAACGAGACCAUCCGCAAGGUCGUAGCUUUUCUAAUAGCUGAGAUAUGGCAUUUUUGAUGCCCAUUUUUGGCCUCAAAAACGGACGUCGAAAACGACUUUUUCAGGAUUUUCAAAGUGCUCUCAUUCCCUUAGUUCUGCUCGGAUCCUCUUAUAACCCGGUGUUUUCGUAAUCUAGGUGACCCAAAUAAGACGCUGGUAUACUUGGUUUGAUUUCGAAAAAAAUCAAUUUUUGGUGAAAAAAUUCGAUACGGGGGGGUAUACCCGAAAAAUGAAUAAUUCCAAACUUUGAAGAUCGAUAUCUCGGCUUCUAUGGGGGGUAUCGGGAAAAUUCCAACGGUUUUGUCUUAGUUUCGUCGUUCUAAAUCCAACGAGACUAUCCGCAAGGUCGUAGCUCCACUAAUAGCUGAGAUAUGGCAUUUUUGAUGCCCAUUUUUGGCCUCAAAAACGGACGUCGAAAACGACUUUUUCUGGAUUUUCAAAGUGCUCUCAUUCCCUUAGUUCUGCUCCGAUCCUGUUAUAACCCGGUGUUUUCGUAAUCUAGGUGACCCAAAUAAGACGCUGGUGUAGUUAGUUUGAUUUCGAAAAAAAUCAAUUUUUGGUGAAAAAAUUCGAUACGGGGGGGUAUACCCGAAAAAUGAAUAAUUCCAAACUUUGAAGAUCGAUAUCUCGGCUUCUAUGGGGGGUAUCGGGAAAAUUCCAACGGUUUUGUCUUAGUUUCGUCGUUCUAAAUCCAACGAGACUAUCCGCAAGGUCGUAGCUCCACUAAUAGCUGAGAUAUGGCAUUUUUGAUGCCCAUUUUUGGCCUCAAAAACGGACGUCGAAAACGACUUUAUCAGGAUUUUCAAAGUGCUCUCAUUCCCUUAGUUCUGCUCGGAUCCUGUUAUAACCCGGUGUUUUCGUAAUCUAGGUGACCCAAAUAAGACGCUGGUGUAUUUAGUUUAAUCUCGAAAAAAAUCAAUUUUUGGUGAAAAAAUUCGAUACGGGGGGGUAUACCCGAAAUAUGAAAAAUUCCAAACUUUGAAGGUCGAUAUCUCGGCUUCUAUGGGAGCUAUCGGGAAAAUUCCAACGGUUUUGUCUUAGUUUCGUCGUUUUAAAUCCAACGAGACUAUCCGCAAGGUGGUAGCUCUUCUAAUAGCUGAGAUAUGGCAUUUUUGAUGCCCAUUUUUGGCCUCAAAAACGGACGUCGAAAACGACUUUUUCAGGAUUUUCAAAGUGCUCUCAUUCCCUUAGUUCUGCUGGGAUCCUGUUAUAACCCGGUGUUUUCGUAAUCUAGGUGACCCAAAUAAGACCCUGAUUACCAAAUAAAUUGAUUUAAAAAUAAACGGAUUCAAUGAAAAUUUAUUCUUUCCUAACCUAAUAUUUUGAUUUUUUUAAAAUUACAUGACAAAAUCACAUUAGCCGGGAGUUUUUAUGAGUGAAAAUGUGCAUAAUUUAAUGUGAUACGAGGCACGAUCUUAUAUCUAUCAUUACAGUUAAACAUUUAUUAGCCUAAUCAAAUGGUAGAAAAUAGGGGAAAGUUUCGGUGUAGUUUUGAAAUUUUCUUUAUACAGUAGAGCCUUGAUAAUCCGGACAUGCGUUACUCCGGAUGCUCCAGUAGUCCGAACACGAAUUUUGCCGCUAUUAUGUACGUUAUAGUCCGGAUUCGCUUGUACGCGAUAAUCCGGAUGGCGCCGUUUUCAGCCUUUUUGCAGGCUUUCACAAGUUUAAAGUCGACACUUAUUGCUUCCUGUCCUUCCUACACCAAUUCUGGGUAAUAUGGCUCCAAUACGAAAGCAUAAAACAUUAUCUUUAAAACAAAAGCUUGAUAUAUUGAACAGAUUAGAACGUGGCGUGAGUGGAUACGAUGUAGGCACAUCCACAAUUUCGGAUUCUGCGGUUCCUCUUCAACUGAUAAAAUCUUGGUACCUGAAACUCGAAAACCUGAUACGCCAAUUGCUUUAUUAAGGGUGCUAUUUAAACCCAGUCCACCUCUUCGGCUUACCAACAGUCAACCAGUCAAUUCCAGCCACUACGGUCUCACCCUUUUUCGAGAUGCUUUCAGCCAAAGCACUCGAAGAUGUUCCAGAUGAGGAGUACCUUCUAGGGCUGCUCCUAGAGCGGGGAUGUCUAUCAUGCUGCUGAGGCUGACCGUCUAUUCGAGAACGCCUGCCGCGAGCCACCCUAUCGUCUUCCACCCUCGACCCAACGCCUUCUUUACUAAAAGAGCCUCGAUGACGAUGACGUACCAGGGCUCUUUUUUUCUUUUAAAUAUCUGAGACCAAAUUGGUAACGAAAAAUCCCCAUUGGAUAGAGUUUUUAUAAGGGAAAAUGUGCAUAACUUAAUGUGAUAUGAGGCACCUUUUUUUAUUAAUAAUUAAAUAUUUAAGAAUAAAUGAAAACCCAAACAAUGUGGGAUAAAAUAAAAUAUUCGUGCAUAAUUUAAUGCGAUAUGAGGCACGUCUUUCUCGCUUGCACUCAUGGAGUUCUUACGGGAAGACUAGAGGGAGUAAUCGGACAUGCAAGUGAGAUGCGUCAUUUUAAAGGCAAAUAAAAAUACUUUUUAAAAAUGAGAAGUUGAUGAUGAUCGAAAAAAAAUGAAACGUCGGAUUAAUUUUUUUUUGCGUCAUGUUAUAGGACAUAAAAAGUGGCAAUGAAAAACUGUUUUUAGUUUGCCGAUAUCUAUUUAAAUAAAGUCGGUAGCAGGUAAAAACGAUUUUGACAAAUUUCGGUUUUUUUUGUUGGAUAUCUCCGGAAGUAUCCGGAAUUUUAGAAUUUUUUAAACGUCAUUUUAUUAAGCCCCAAAUUGUGCAACUUUUUCUCCAUAUAACCGACCUUGUAACUCUUAUGGUUUCCGAGAUCCCAAUUUACGAAUAAAACUCAAAGUAUUUUUA
rnacentral:misc_RNA from 1 species